UACGGAGGGUGCAAACGUUGCUCGGAAUCAUUGGGCGUAAAGCGCACGUAGGCGGCUUGAUAAGUUGGGUGUGAAAGCCCUGGGCUCAACCCAGGAAGUGCAUUCAAAACUGUCAAGCUUGAAUCUCGGAGGGGGUCAGAGAAUUCCCGGUGUAGAGGUGAAAUUCGUAGAUAUCGGGAGGAAUACCAGUGGCGAAGGCGCUGACCUGGACGAAGAUUGACGCUGAGGUGCGAAAGCGCGGGGAGCAAACAGG
rnacentral:rRNA from 1 species